GUACUACUCCCUCCGUUCGGAAUUACUCGUCCAAGAAAUGAAUGUAUCUAGAUGUAUUUUAGUUGUAGAUACAUCCAUUUUUGUGACAAGUAAUUCCGAACGGAGGAAGUACUAG
rfam:Triticum aestivum genome assembly, contig: Triticum_aestivum_CS42_TGACv1_scaffold_035679_1BL